GGGUAGCGGAACGCGUACGCAACCUUCCCAUAACUGGUGAAUAGCCUUCCGAAAGGGAGAUUAAUACACCGUAACAUAAUGAAGUGGCAUCAUUUUAUUAUUAUAGGCUUCGGCCGGUUUUGGAUGGGCGUGCGCCUGAUUAGGUAGUUGGCGGGGUAACGGCCCACCAAGCCUGCGAUCAGUAACUGGUGUGAGAGCACGACCAGUCACACGGGCACUGAGACACGGGCCCG
rnacentral:rRNA from 1 species